rnacentral:rRNA from 1 species
AUGAUAUUCCUUAUUGCAAUUAAUGACACUAAAUUUCUCAAACCAUGGGUAAGUGCAGAAGUAAAAGAAUCUGAGUUCAAUGCCCAUGCGUUGCCACAAGCUAACAAUUCUUUAGAAAGAGAAAUGUUGUGUGCUAUUGACUAUCCACAUGGGAUGAUAUUUCAUAUUCGUCAUGUUGUAGACAAAUGCAUCUCAUUACUGCCUUCCUCUCCUCCAUCUUCUCGGCCAUCACAUGACAAUUUGCUUCCUUCCUCCCACUGUCCUUCAAUCUAUGUGUUUUCUCUCCCUACCUUGCACAACUAUUUUGAGAAUCUUGUUCGACUCUAA